rnacentral:rRNA from 1 species
ACGGUUCAGUUACACGUGGAUAACCUGCCCUUAGGACCGGCAUAACCCUGGGAAACUGGGGAUAAUUCCGGAUAACCCAUGAAUGCUGGAAUGCUUCGUGGGUAAAAUGGUUUCGACCGCCAAAGGAUGGAUCUGCGGCCUAUCAGGUAGUAGUGGGUGUAGUGUACCUACUAGCCUACGACGGGUACGGGUUGUGAGAGCAAGAGCCCGGAGAUGGAUUCUGAGACAUGAAUCCAGGCCCUACGGGGCGCAGCAGGCGCGAAAACUUUACAAUGCGGGAAACCGCGAUAAGGGGACACUGAGUGCCAGCAUCUUAUGUUGGCUGUCCGCAUGUUUAAAAAGCAUGUGUUAGCAAGGGCUGGGCAAGACCGGUGCCAGCCGCCGCGGUAACACCGGCAGCCCGAGUGGUGAUCACUAUUAUUGGGUCUAAAGGGUCCGUAGCCGGUUUGAUCAGUCUUUUGGGAAAUCUGACAGCUUAACUGUUAGGCUUCCAAAGGAUACUGUCAGACUUGGGACCGGGAGAGGUAAGAGGUACUACAGGGGUAGGAGUGAAAUCUUGUAAUCCCUGUGGGACCACCAGUGGCGAAGGCGUCUUACCAGAACGGGUCCGACGGUGAGGGACGAAAGCUGGGGGCACGAACCGGAUUAGAUACCCGGGUAGUCCCAGCCGUAAACGAUGCUCGCUAGGUGUCAGGAAUGGUGCGACCGUUUCUGGUGCCGUAGGGAAGCCGUGAAGCGAGCCACCUGGGAAGUACGGCCGCAAGGCUGAAACUUAAAGGAAUUGGCGGGGGAGCAC